UCGGAACACCUCGACUAUCAACUAUGAUAAAUUAAACAAGAUAAACAAGGAAAUGUGGCGUUUUAUAAGUUUACGUAAAGCACCGAGAAGUUGACUUAAAUAUGUUUUUUAAAUAAAUAAAUAAAAUAGAAUAAAUAAAUAUAUAAAUAUGCUAAGAACGUAUAGUUUCGAUUUCGUUUUCGGAUUUUUGUUUGACUAUUUAUACCUUGGCUAAUAACCAAUGGGACUUUAACACGGAAACACUAGAUUAGAUUAAUAGAUAAAGCUAGAUUUGCUUUUGAUUCAGAAACAUUGGAAUAAAAAGAACCAACAGAUAAAAAACAAAGGUGAUGACCUCGUACAAAAAUGAUGGGGACUGUGUUCCUGUUCAAUCAAUGCCCAAUGGCGUCUUUAUACCAUCGAAUGGACAAAUGAAUGGACAUGUUAUUUAUGCUGGUGAUCAGAUAUGCAUUCGUGAAAUGCCGAAACAAUGGAGGCCAACCAAAUGGAGUAGAGAACAUCUAUAGUGUAUAAAAGACGAUUUAAUGAGGUUUACACCAAAAGAAGAUCCGUUAGUCACGCGAACACGGAUAUUGAUGAUUGGACUUGUUGGCGCGGGAAAGUCCAGCUUCUAUAAUAC